UCCCUGGUGACCCCUGUGAAAGGGUCAUUCAACCCCCACAGGGGGGUCUCCAGACCCACAGGUUGAGAACCACUGGUUUAGAUGCAUCUCCCGUGAAGGACCUCAGCUGCAGGUUUGUGCUAGCACUCUGCCCCUGGAGCAAAGAACUGAAGAUGGCUCAGCAUCCCAGAGAGCUCUCAGACUAUCGGAAAGUAACUCCCUGACAGAAGUGAUGUCAGCAACAAGAAAAAACAGCAGGGUUUCCACUGGAAACAGAGACCCAGACAAACGCACAGGCAGGACGACAAGGCUUCAUUUCCUUCACGUGGCAGUGAAUUAACCAUGCAAAUGACAAAAGUGAUGGCAUCCGCAUGGGUUUGACGAGGCGAUCACCUCUUACAGUUCCUUUUCUGGAUCACCACCAUCACGCCUUCUCCCUUUCCCUACAAGUUACCCCAUUCACAUCUUUCUGGGUUUUUUGUUUGUUUGUUUCUACUGAGUUUAAUCAAGGCCUUCGGUGCUCACUAAUUGGUACUGAAAGCAAUGACUUCACCUCUCCCAGAAUCUACCAGCAGCCAAUAGUUGAAGAGUAAAAGAUGAUUUAGAGAAAAGUCACCUCAUGAACGUACAGAUCCAAAACAGCAGGAUCUCCAAGACACAGGAUAACAGGAUAACCAAGAGCAGCCCCAUUAAGGGCCCAUUAUCAAUGGUGUAGGGAAGCCAGAGGACUCCAGCCAGACCAAUGGCCGCAAGGACUCCUGGGACUGAACACUUUCAAGUAAAGAUGACUGGACUAAAGAUUCCCUGGACCCAACAGACAGAUGGAAAGAACUGACUCCAUCAAGGUAUCCUCUGACCUCUGAGAAUACACUGUGACAUAUACUUUUGUAAUGAGAAAAAUGACCAAAAAUGAAAACCGAGUUUUAAAAGCACAGAUGAAAUACUAUGCUCCAUAUGAGAGUGAAGAUGUUGUCUUCUCCCCUCCUCAUAGUGUUCUGAUGGAGAGAAGCAGAUGCUAACCUGGAUCCAUGCACUGAUUUACUCUAUACUCCAAGGAAGGUGAUAACUUGAACACAAGGACACAGAGAGCUAAGGAUCUUGCAUCUCUCAACUGUGUUUUAAGAGCCGUCUUGUGAAGCAAGCACGGCAAAUGUGACCUCUUCAGUGCAUGUAAAUAAGAAGAAUACUAAGAAUAACGUGUCGCCAAAAAAAAUGAUCAUUAGUGUGGAGUGUUCACUUCACCGCGCAACUGGCUUUUGCACAGCACAGGACUUUGGGGGAGACACAUCACGAGGUCAACAUCCUCCUUUGUGUUGGUAACAGAAAUACAGCCGGGUCCUGAAAGAAUUGCUAGGAAGCAUUUGCAAAGCCUCCUAAUCAGCGAGAAGUGCUCCCAAGGAAACUUUAUACUAGUAAACUCAGCAGUUUUUCCUCUUGAUUUAAACAGCAUCUCUGGCAAAGAACAGGGCUUCCUACUUGGUCAUGGAAUAUUCCAGGAACUUGUAAAAUAACGAGUGGGAGGAUGUGGGAGUUACAGGCAAACGCAGAAGGAGCAGCUUCGUUUAGAUAAGGUUUAAGGAGACUUGCUUCCCCAUUCAGAUUUUCCUGCUACCAUUUCUCCCUCCGCCUUAUAGCUUCUAGAACUCUUCCAUGAGUGAAUCUCUAAAGCAUAUACAGGAAAUUAGGAUGAAGAGUCUAUUAAGAAUUCACCCCGAAUACAGGAAACUAAUAUAAACUGGAUAAUAGAAUUGAAACAAAGUGAAAUAAAAAAGGCAGAACAGGGAAAAUACCAUCCAUGCAGACACAACCAGUUCAGUUGAUAGAUAAGCAAGACUUUGAACAGUUGACACAUACAUAGCAGUAAAUUCUCUCUAAAUAGUUCUCCAUAAAUUUAGCUAUAUAGUUUCGAGAUUUGAACACAGACAGACCUGUGCUGGAAAAUUAAGUCUUAAAUCUAUGUGACUUGUUGCAGAAAACUAUUUACCCUGCUUCCUGUGAUAUACAACUCACGUUUUCCUUUUCUGGCUGCAGGAAAGGGAAUAGCAAGAAAGGAAGAAGGAUGUUAAGUGUGGGGCUAAACAGUACAAAACAAUUUGUCCACAAGUAGCCAUCCUACCAGGCACAGAGAGACACAGAGUAGACUGGCAGAGCAAGAUAUUCAAGUUUUACCACUGAAGAGCUUUGAAAAAAAAAAUCACAUCUCUGUCCAUUUAAGUGUUCUCCUGACCCAGGGAUAUGCUCAUUUGCUUUCAUAUAAACAAUCCUAAAAUUUUGACUUGGAAAUGACAAAGGACGUCUGACUUGUGAAUAUAACCAGCAAUGGGGCAUGGAUCCCUUCAGGGCUAGUACCCAUUCCAGUACACUGCCAUGCUUGGAUGGUCAAGACUAUUCUCCUCUGACAGAGCUCAAGGACCGCUCCCCAGCAGAGCUCGUUGAAGUGCUAGCAAAUCUGGAACAUCUUGUGCGAAUGAAGAAAAUGCUCUUCCUUUCCUGAAAUGUGGGAGUCAUACGGUAGCAAGUCUUUAGCAGCCCCUACUUUAGUGCUCUGCAGCAGCCUGUCAACUUCAACAAGGGGGAAGCCUCAAGUCACCUGGACUUGUUUUAAAAUUGCCCAACCAGAAUAUUGCUUUCUGGCUGUUGGGUUUCAGGCACAGGUGAGUCUCACUAAUGAGCAAUUUCAGACUCAUCAACGAGGAAAGUAGGCCUGUGCUCCAGAGGAUGCAGUUCUGAGUACGCAUGGUGCUCCUCUUCAGUCCCUUACGAGGCCCUGAUGUUUUUCCCUCCUUCCUCUUCUAAUUGCCUUUGCUUACCACACAUCGCUUGCUUUCCUUGGCUAUAACCCAGUCAUUCGCUUUGAAUUCUACCUCAUGUUUGCUUGGUGUCGUUUUUCAAAUAGAGAUCUUCACCACCCUG